GCGUGCAGGAAGAAGGCCUUCGGGUUGUAAACUGCUUUUGUACGGAACGAAAAGGUCUGCCCUAAUACGGCGGGCCCAUGACGGUACCGUAAGAAUAAGCACCGGCUAACUACGUGCCAGCAGCCGCGGUAAUACGUAGGGUGCGAGCGUUAAUCGGAAUUACUGGGCGUAAAGCGUGCGCAGGCGGUUGUGUAAGACAGUUGUGAAAUCCCCGGGCUCAACCUGGGAAUUGCAUCUGUGACUGCACAGCUAGAGUACGGUAGAGGGGGAUGGAAUUCCGCGUGUAGCAGUGAAAUGCGUAGAUAUGCGGAGGAACACCGAUGGCGAAGGCAAUCCCCUGGACCUGUACUGACGCUCAUGCACGAAAGCGUGGGGAGCAAACAGGAUUAGAUACUCUGGUAGUCCACGCCCUAAACGAUGUCAACUGGUUGUUGGGUGCAUUAGUACUCAGUAACGAAGCUAACGCGUGAAGUUGACCGCCUGGGGAGUACGGCCGCAAGGUU
rnacentral:rRNA from 1 species